GGCCGGUGUGUCUCUACAGCCGCCGGCGUUCACGCCGCCACUCCCUCCCGGCCGCAGUUCCACGCACAGCAGCGAACGCUCGCACUUAUGCCUUAGAAAGGAAGGCGUCCCCAAAGCCAGGCUGUAGCAUCUGAUUUUGAAGCAAGCUGAUUGCGGUUCUACGCUGUCCAGACGCGCAGCGGGGUUCCUGAACACUCGUUCCACAUGUCUUGAAGAAGGCUUGUUAUCAGCAGGGGCUCAGGAAGAGGACCUUCAUUUGCUUGUUCUCAGAACACAAACAAAACCUGUGAAGAGUGCCUGAAGAACGUCUCCUGUCUUUGGUGCAACACUAACAAGGCUUGUCUGGACUACCCAGUUACAAGCGUCUUGCCACCGGCUUCCCUUUGUAAAUUGAGCUCUGCACGCUGGGGAGUUUGUUGGGUGAACUUUGAGGCGCUGAUCAUCACCAUGUCGGUAGUCGGGGGAACCCUCCUCCUGGGCAUUGCCAUCUGCUGCUGCUGCUGCUGCAGGAGGAAGAGGAGCCGGAAGCCGGACAGGAGUGAGGAGAAGGCCAUGCGUGAGCGGGAGGAGAGGCGGAUACGGCAGGAGGAACGGAGAGCAGAGAUGAAGACA
rnacentral:lncRNA from 1 species